GGCGGCGUAUUGCUGAGUCCCAUGGCGGCCUAUGCGGUAUUGGCGUUGCUGCUCACCGGCGUAUUGCGCAUGGGGCUGCAGCGCGUGGGAUUGGCGCAAUGGAUCUGGCACGAAGCCCUGUUCGAUUGUGCCC
rnacentral:sRNA from 1 species